UGAUAUGGCAACAGCCAGUAGGGUCAUUAUUACAGGUGGCGACGAGGAAGGAGCCGAAUAAGCUAGUCAUUGUCAGGUGAGCUACGUCUGGAUAUUAAGAUCCAUAAACCGACAAGAUGGUGGAGUUUAAUGGCACCUACAAACAUGACAAGGACGAGAACUUCCAGGAGGUCUUGGCCAAGAUCGGGAUUGGGUUCAUGCUGAGGAAGGUGAUGAUGUUGGCCAAACCGAGCGUUGAGGUGAAAGUUGAAGGUGACAUCUGGACCAUCCUUGCUCACACCCCAAUCAAGACAAUCACCAUAACCUUCAAACUUGGCCAGGAGACUGACAUGGAGUUUUUGACAGGAGGGCGACAAAGGUGAAAAGUAGUGUUUACCUUGGAGGGCAACACACUCACUCAGCAGCCAGUGGAUACAUCAGGAGACAAUGCCGUGUCAGUGGUUAGGGAGUUCACUGACGAGGGCUUGAAACAGGUGAUGAUCCAUUUGCCAUCUGGAACAAAAGGCAUUCGGUUCUUCAAGAGAGCAUGAGGAGCCAUUAAGAGAACUCCACCCCCCACGACUCCUUAGUGCUAUCACCUCAUGCAUCCCGCGGAUCGAUGUUCAUUUUACCAGAUAUUAACACUAUUUUCCCACUUUAUUUGAUAAAUACUGGACUGUAUAGUAUGUAUUGUAGUGUUUUAUGUGCUUUUCUGUUCAUUAAAUAGAUACUGGUAUGUUACUUGUAUAUGAACUUGCAUGUGCUUUUAAAUUUUAUGGUUAGUAAGCUGACAAGAGAUGAAGGUAAGUGUACUUUUCUUUUCACCUAAUACAAUACAGUACUUACAUUACUGGUACUGUAUAAGUACAGGUAAUUUACCUUUGAUUUGAUAAAUUUGUUACUGGAAUAUACAGUAUAUAUUUUUCUGACCAAAUAAUGCAUUUGCUACUGGUAAAUGUACUUUACUGUUAAUGUAAUGCAUAUUAUAUUAAUGGCAUAUGUACUUCCCUGGUCAUUUGAUACAUAUAUAAGGAUGAGUUAGCAUCAAUGAACAGUUGAUGUGACAAUAAUGUAGCACAACCAUCCAGGCUAAUAAGAGUACAUGCUUCUUCAUAUUCAUAAAUAAAUCAUCCAAAUCUUGGCAGCUUAAAGUAAUACCAAUAGGUAUGAAGGCAUUGUCAUUUUUUUGCUUGAAUAAAAAAAUGAACUGUUAGGUUUUGUCACAAUGAGAAGUUUGUUUCUUUGUUUUCAUGAAUAAAUUACCAAAGUUUUGUUAGUCUUUAAGUUCUGGGUUUGAUGGUGCAGUUUGUCUCUUUUUUGACACGAAUCAAUUAAUAAAGCUCUUAUCCAAGUCAA